rnacentral:rRNA from 1 species
GAUGAACGCUGGCGGCGUGCCUAAUACAUGCAAGUCGAGCGAACAGACGAGGAGCUUGCUCCUCAGACGUUAGCGGCGGACGGGUGAGUAACACGUGGAUAACCUACCUAUAAGACUGGGAUAACUUCGGGAAACCGGAGCUAAUACCGGAUAAUAUAUUGAACCGCAUGGUUCAAUAGUGAAAGACGGUUUUGCUGUCACUUAUAGAUGGAUCCGCGCCGCAUUAGCUAGUUGGUAAGGUAACGGCUUACCAAGGCAACGAUGCGUAGCCGACCUGAGAGGGGGAUCGGCGACACUGGAACUGAGACACGGUCCAGACUCCUGCGGGAGGCAGCAGUAGGGAAUCUUCCGCAAUGGGCGAAAGCCUGACGGAGCAACGCCGAGUGAGUGAUGAAGGUCUUCGGAUCGUAAAACUCUGUUAUUAGGGAAGAACAAAUGUGUAAGUAACUAUGCACGUCUUGACGGUACCUAAUCAGAAAGCCACGGCUAACUACGUG